rnacentral:rRNA from 1 species
GAUGAACGCUGGCGGCGUGCUUAACACAUGCAAGUCGAACGAAGCACUUUUUUAAGCUUGCUUUUAAAAGUGACUGAGUGGCGGACGGGUGAGUAACGCGUGGGUAACCUACCUCACACAGGGGGAUAACAGUUAGAAAUGACUGCUAAUACCGCAUAAAGUGGCAGUUUCGCAUGAAACAACCAUCAAAGAUUUAUCGGUGUGAGAUGGACCCGCGUCUGAUUAGCUAGUUGGUAAGGUAAAGGCUUACCAAGGCGACGAUCAGUAGCCGACCUGAGAGGGUGACCGGCCACAUUGGGACUGAGACACGGCCCAAACUCCUACAGGAGGCAGCAGUGGGGAAUAUUGGACAAUGGGCGCAAGCCUGAUCCAGCGACGCCGCGUGAGCGAUGAAGUAUUUCGGUAUGUACAGCUCUAUCAGCAGGGAAGAUAAUGACGGUACCUGACUAAGAAGCACCGGCUAAAUACGUGCCAGCCGCCGCAGUAAGAC